rnacentral:lncRNA from 1 species
UUCUCUGUUGCUUCCUUCAGACAGACCAUUCAGGCAUUUGCCAGUGAAUUGAGAGUGACCACACCCUAUUUCUUUACCUACAUUGUUAACUGUCUUGCUGUCUCUGUCUGACUUCUUAUUCCUGCCUCAUGUAACCUAGAGAAGGAGGACUGCCCUUCAGACUCAUUAUGCCCUUUCUGUCCAGGAUCUUAUUCCUGUGGAAUAGGAAGGGUUAAAUGCAGGAAGAAGUGGGUUUGCAGCCACUACAGACACUGGAACUGAAAACUGACAAGACAGCUGGAGGUGCUGGGAAAACAAGCACUAAUGAGCUCCUGGGUUCCAUCUUGUGGGAGAAUGCCAGCAGAUGACUUCAGGCCCAUGUGCUGAACACUGCCAAGUUACAAGUCAUGGGCACAUAAAGAUGCAAAUAUGCUCAAGGCGGCUCUACCAUGGCAAAACAGACCAAGCCAACCAUCCCGGCCAGAUGGUAUGUGGUUUGAGUGCCAGGUACCUUCCAGAUGUACAGCACCUUUGAUAUAAGAACAAGGAAGACACGAUGCAUCGCAAAAAGAGCACCUGAAUUCUGGUCAUAGCUUUUAGCUCUGGAUCUGUCAUUUCCCCUUACUGAGCCUCAGCUGCCACAUCCAUUAAGUGAGAAUUAAAACAAUCAACCUAAAUGUAUGGAUGUCAUGAAGAUGCAAUGAGACCGUGGAUGUCAAGUGAUCAGUGUGGCCUGUGGCUAGAGGAGACACUCAGUAAAGUAGAUUCUUUCUGCCUUACUCCUCUUUUCUUUGUUGUUAUAGUGGCACAGUUUAGCAAUGCCACUUAGCAGAGUGAAUUGGCAGAUGAAAUGCUCAUUAAAAUGAAGCUCAUGACAUUAUUUGAUGGACGGGAGCUUCUCAAUUAAGUACCUAAGUGUUUAAGGCUAUCUGAUGCUUCCAGGAAUGUGUGCUGAAUCCUCUUUACAUUUGUUGAAAAAUGUUUUAAUCCUUCCAAGAAGGAAAGGGAUUAUCCUAAUGACUCUGCAUCUGCCAUGCCCUGGCUUCUUCAUUCCAGGCUUCAGGGACAAUAUCCAGGAGAGUCCCAACAGUGACAUCUAGAGGACAGUCUCUCCCCUCUGGAUAAAAUUUGGAUUCAAAGUGAGUCCUUAACCUGAGCAAGGGUCAUUUCAACUAUUAGGUUGGUGCAAAAGUAAUUGAGGCUUUUGACCAAUUCCUUGAUAUCAC